UGCAUUACAAAAGAAAAUGCUUUCAAAAGUACAAGCUCUUUUAACAGUCAUUUUGUCGAAUUUCAGAAAUUCCACGCAUAAAUAGUCUAAUGGGAGUUUGAGAUCAGUAAAAAAGGUAACAAAAAUCAAACAACCAACUACCAGUGUGGUCAAAUUUUAUCUUUUUUUAAAAGAUCUGGGUAUUGUUAAUUGCUACUUAGUAUAAGUGGUACCAGCAGGCAUUUUGUGAAAAAUGGCUAACAGACAGUGAACUAUAUGGUUGGAUAAAACCAGACUAAGUAUGGUACUUCAAUUUUUACCGUUAUAACAAUAUGAAGCUCAGUUUAUCCGCCAAUCAUUAGGAAAAAAAGUAGUCUGGUUCAUAAGGAUUAUUUAUUAUUCCUAAUUGAACCUUGAGUUCAAAUAAAACGUUGGUUUCCAUUGAAACAUAACAGUGUUCUGGUACACAUGCCCUUGUUGAAUCCAAAGCAAGCUCUUCUGAGCAAUAAAUCACACUAGCAGUAAAUUUCCAAAAUUUUGUUGCAAAAAAUCACUUGAAUUAAUUUUUUGAUAAACUAAGAGAUCUGGCAGCUUCCAAAAACGAUUAUAGACUUUUGAUCGGCAACUACGACGAAGAUCCUCCGCAUUCUUGUUGGUAAUACAAUAAGAAACAGAUGCUAGUAACCGGAAGAAACUUAAUAUUUUGUGUAACUUCAAGUGCAAUCUUUAAGCAUUGCCACUCGAAAACUAAACUAACUAACCAGCUUCUUGCAAAAUAGUUACAAAUUGAAUACUUACAAAGCAAGCUGUUGCUAAGAUGUUCGCGAUGGACGUCAAAGAUAUGCAUAUACUUUAAAAAUUCACUAGUAGCUUUUCAGGUUGUCGAUAUCUUCUUAUGCUCCUGACAAAGCAGAAGUUGAAGUUAUUGAUAUGGAUGCUGAGUGGCUAACAAAUAACAGUUAUAAUACAAUUUAAUUUCAGAAUAUAACAAUUAAUUCAAAAAUAUAUACAAUUGUUACAAAUUUUUAAUAACUGUUUGGUAAGUUAAUUAAGAUGUAAAGUUUUAGUUAAUUUAGUUCAAUACGGUAUACUUUUAGUUUA